rnacentral:rRNA from 1 species
GGUUGCGAUCAUACCAGCACUAAUGCACCGGAUCCCAUCAGAACUCCGCAGUUAAGCGUGCUUGGGCGAGAGUAGUACUAGGAUGGGUGACCCCCUGGGAAGUCCUCGUGUUCCAACCC